rnacentral:tRNA from 1 species
AUUUAUAUAGUUUAGGAAAACAUUACAUUUUCACUGUAAAGACAAAGAUAUACUUUUAUAAAUA